GGGUGUAUAGCUCAGUGGUAGAGCACAUGCUUGGGAUGCAUGAGUUCCUGGGUUCAAUCCCCAGUGUCUCCG